rnacentral:rRNA from 1 species
CGUGGGAAAUCUACCUCCGAAUCGGGGAUAACCCGUCGAAAGGUGAGCUAAUACCGGAUAAUAUCCCAAGAACUCCUGUUUUUGGGAUCAAAGGUGGCCUCUACAUGUAAGCUACUGUUUGGAGAUGAGCCCGCGUACCAUUAGCUUGUUGGUAGGGUAAUGGCCUACCAAGGCCACGAUGGUUAGCUGGUCUGAGAGGAUGAUCAGCCACACUGGAACUGACACACGGUCCAG